AGCAGCCGCGGUAAUUCCAGCUCCAAUAGCGUAUAUUAAAGUUGUUGCAGUUAAAAAGCUCGUAGUUGAAUUUCGGGGUCAGCAGGUUGGUCGUGCCACAGGUACGUACUGGUCUCACUGAUUCCUCCUUCCUGAUGAACCGUAAUGCCAUUAAUUUGGUGUUGCGGGGAAACUGGACUGUUACUUUGAAAAAAUUAGAGUGUUUAAAGCAGGCUAACGCUUGAAUACAUUAGCAUGGGAUAAUGAAAUAGGACGUUCGAUCCUAUUUUGUUGGUUUCUAGGAUUGACGUAAUGAUUAAUAGGGAUAGUUGGGGGCAUUAGUAUUCAAUUGUCAGAGGUGAAAUUCUUGGAUUUAUUGAAGACUAACUACUGCGAAAGCAUUUGCCAAGGAUGUUUUCAUUAAUCAAGAACGAAAGUUAGGGGAUCGAAGACGAUCAGAUACCGUCGUAGUCUUAACCAUAAACUAUGCCGACUAGGGAUCGGAUGAUGUUAAUUUUUAAUGACUCAUUCGGCGCCUUAC
rnacentral:rRNA from 1 species